AGAUGUGAGGGUAAUUCAGCUGUGGCAUUUGUCACCCCAUUGAGUUGGUUCGAAUGGCCUGACAAGGAGGUGUCCCCUUCCUCCCUCACUGUUCCAUGUGCAUCCCUCCUGAAGCUGUGGGCUUGGCAGAAGAGGGCAACUAUCCCUCUUCUGGGUAAUCUUACCAAAACUUUGGCCUUCCAGAAGCAAACAUUUAAAGUAUAAAAAACCUUCACAGAGUUUAGUUUUAU
rnacentral:sRNA from 1 species